GAGAAGUCAUUUUCAAACCUUGAGAAUUUAAUCUCCUUUGAACUGAAAAGCACUCUUUUUAAGAGAACUGCAGUCACUAAGACCACGGUGACGGAAGAGCCCAUUUUACUUCUGGCACAUAAUAUCCUGGUAGCAGCGUGAGGACUGUGGGAUGAUAAGAUGAUAGACUGUUAUAACAAAUGGAAGCACACAGGAGCAGCUGAUGUGUCGGUAAUACUACUCAUACCUCAAUGUACACUACCGAAAGCAAAGAGAAUGUACAAAUAUAUCAGCACCAUCUGGCAUACCCUGUUUUUCACUUAAAGUGAAUAAUUUUAGCUGUGAAAUUAUUGGAUUUGUAAUCCCAAAACAAACUUAACCCUGCAUGAUACAUCUUUGGAGUCUAAUAUAAAAAAGGUCUUUAAAAGGAGAAGGAAAGGCAUUUUUGCAUUUUACUGCCAAUAGAUUAGCCACAA